rnacentral:rRNA from 1 species
CAGUCGAACGAAGCACUUUAUUUGAUUUCUUCGGAAUGAAGAUUUUGUGACUGAGCGUUUAACGGGUGAGUAACGCGUGGGUAACCUGCCUCAUACAGGGGGAUAACAGUUGGAAACGACUGCUAAUACCGCAUAAGCGCACAGGGUCGCAUGACCUGGUGUGAAAAGCUCCGGUGGUAUGAGAUGGACCUGCGUCUGAUUAGCCAGUUGGUGGGGUAACGGCCUACCAAAGCAACGAUCAGUAGCCGACCUGAGAGGGUGACCGGCCACAUUGGGACUGAGACACGGCCCAAACUCCUACGGGAGGCAGCAGUGGGGAAUAUUGCACAAUGGGGGAAACCCUGAUGCAGCGACGCCGCGUGAGCGAAGAAGUAUUUCGGUAUGUAAAGCUCUAUCAGCAGGGAAGAAGAAAUGACGGUACCUGACUAAGAAGCACCGGCUAAAUACGUGCCAGCAGCCGCGGUAAUACGUAUGGUGCAAGCGUUAUCCGGAUUUACUGGGUGUAAAGGGAGCGCAGGCGGAAGGCUAAGUCUGAUGUGAAAGCCCGGGGCUCAACCCCGGUACUGCAUUGGAAACUGGUCAUCUAGAGUGUCGGAGGGGUAAGUGGAAUUCCUAGUGUAGCGGUGAAAUGCGUAGAUAUUAGGAGGAACACCAGUGGCGAAGGCGGAUUACUGGACGGUAACUGACGGUGAGGCGCGAAAGC